CGAGUGACCGGGAAGAGCUCAAAUUUGAAAUCUGGCGUCCUCAGGGCGUCCGAGUUGUAAUCUAUAGAGGCGUUUUCCGUGCCGGACCGUGUCCAAGUUCCUUGGAACAGGAUAUCAAAGAGGGUGACAAUCCCGUACUUGACACGAUGACCGGUGCUCUGUGAUACGUCUUCUACGAGUCGAGUUGUUUGGGAAUGCAGCUCAAAAUGGGUGGUGAGUUCCAUCUAAAGCUAAAUAUUGGCGAGAGACCGAUAGCGAACAAGUACCGUGAGGGAAAGAUGAAAAGCACUUUGGAAAGAGAGUUAAACAGUACGUGAAAUUGUUGAAAGGGAAACGAUUGAAGUCAGUCGUGACUGAGAGGCUCAGCCGGUUCUGCCGGUGUAUUCCCCUCAGUCGGGUCAACAUCAGUUUUGUCCGGUGGAAAAGGGCGGUAGGAACGUGGCACCUCCGGGUGUGUUAUAGCCUGCCGUCGCAUACAUCGGGUGAGACUGAGGAAUGCAGCUCGCCUUUAUGGCCGGGGUUCGCCCACGUCCGAGCUUAGGAUGUUGACAUAAUGGCUUUAAACGACCCGUCUUGAAA
rnacentral:rRNA from 1 species